UAGAUCACCAUAAUGAGUGUCUAUCUGUAUAGUUUCAGACUCAACAUCUGUUAAAGUACUGAUCUCUGUUGCUGCUGCUGCUGGAUCUCUGCUGAUUGUUGCUGCAGUCGUGAUAGUUUGUAUUUGCAGGAAAUGUAGACAAACAGACAAAGAAGCUGAGACUCAUGAAGACGAGAUCACUUACAUUGAGCCUACAUUCUACAAAAGAGAAGCACAGAAACCGGAUGUUAAAGAGGAUGAUCAUGUGGAAUAUGCACCUAUCGUCAAGAGAAGAUGAUCAGACACGUAUCAAACCCGCUUUGUGACUUUCACAGGAAGCUUCUGUGACUACCUCAGAGUCUGUCGUUUCAUCUCAGCCCUUGAAAACUUGUAGAUUGAGUUUUAGGAUUGUAAGUGAAAUUCAGGGCUGGAUUAAUGAAAUUCUCUCUUAAAGAAUACAAAAUACUUUUAACAAAUCAUUUUAAUCUCGUGAAACACAAACAUUUUCUUGUUUGACUCUAUAGCCUCCUAAAGAAUUAUAAUUAUUAUUAUUUUAUUAUUAUUAUUUUUAACAAAUUCCCAAAACGAGAAACAUUUUUGCAUCUGAUUUACAUCUGUGUAGAUUUGCAGGAAACAGUUGUGCUUGAACAUUGCUGAAUGUUUGCGGUUGACUUAAACACAGACACUGCUAAGGCGUCAUUAGCGUGUGGUUAAAUGCCUUUUUCCAUUUCCAUUUCAUAUGAAACUCAGUCUAACUUUAGCAUGUACUAACCAAUUUACCAUGAAAUCCUGAAUCUAACAGAUACACGACUAUCUCAGAUAAAAC